rnacentral:lncRNA from 1 species
UUUUUUUUGAGACAGAGUCUCGCUCUGUUGCCCAGGCUGGAGUGCAGUGGCGCAAUCUCGGCUCACUGCAAGCUCCGCCUCCUGGGUUCACGCCAUUCUCCUGCCUCAGCCUCCGGAGUAGCUGGGACUACAGGCGCCCGCCACCGCGCCUUGUAUUUUUAGUAGAGGCGGGGUUUCACCCUGGUCUCGAUCUCCUGACCUCGUGAUCCGCCUGCCUCGGCCUCCCAAAGUGCUGGGAUUACAGGCGUGAGCCACCGCGCCCGGCAUCUGAACUUUGUUUUAUUUAUUUUUUUUGAGACAGAAUCUCACUCUGUCACCCAGGCUGGAGUGCAGUGGUGUGAUCUCGGCUCACUGCAACUUCCACCUCCCAGGUUCAAGCGAUUCUUGUGCCUCAGCCUCCCGAGUAGCUGGGACUAUAGGCGUGUGCCACCACGCCCAGCUAAUUUUUAUAUUUUUAGUAGAGACAGAGUUUCACCAUAUUGGCCAGGCUGGUCUUGAACUCCUGACCUCGUGAUCCGCCCGCCUCGGCCUCCCAAAGUGCUGGGAUUACAGGCAUGAGCCACCAUGCCUGGCAGCAUCUGAACUUUUAAUGACUUGGAAUUGUGGGGAAAAGAGAGAGAUCAGACUGUUACUGUGUCUAUGUAGAAAGAAGUAGACAUAAGAGACUACAUUUUGUUCUGUACUAAGAAAAAUUCUUCUGCCUUGAGAUGCUGUGAAUCUGUAACCCUAGCCCCAACCCUGUGCUGGCAGAAACAUGUGCUGUGUCAACUCAAGGUUAAAUGGAUUAAGGGCUGUUCAGGAUGUGCUUUGUUAAACAAAUGCUAGAAGACAGCGUGCUUGUUAAAAGUCAUCACCACUCCUUACUCUCAAGUACCCAGGGACACAGAACACUGCGAAAGGCCGCAGGAACCUCUGCCUAGGAAAGCCAGGUAUUGUCCAAAGUUUCUCCCAUGUGAUAGCCUGAGAUAUGGCCUCAUGGGAAGGGAAAGACCUGACCAUCCCCCAGCCCAACACCCGUAAAGGGUCUGUGCUGAGGAGGAUUAGUAAAAGAGGAAGGCCUCUUUGCAGUUGAGGUAAGAGGAAGGCAUCUGUCUCCUGCUGGUCCCUGGACAAUGGAAUGUCUCGGUGUAAAGCCCAAUUGUAUAUUCCAUCUACUGAGAUAGGAGAAAACUGCCUUAGAGCUGGAGGUGAGACAUGCUGGAGGCAGUACUGCUCUUUAAGGCAUUGAGAUGUUUAUGUAUAUGCACAUCAAAAGCACAGCACUUUUUCCUUUACCUUGUUUAUGACAGAGACAUUUGUUCAGGUUUUCCUGCUGACCCUCUCUCCACUAUUACCUUAUUGUCCUGCCACAUCCCCCUCUCCGAGAUGGUAGAGAUAAUGAUCAAUAAAUACUGAGGGAACUCAGAGGCCGGUGCAGGCGCGGGUCCUCUGUAUGCUGAGUGCUGGUCCUGUAGGCCUACUUUUCUUUCUCUGUACUUUGUCUCUAUGUCUCUUUCUUUUCUCAAAUCUCUCCGUUCCACCUGACGAGAAAUGCCCACAGGUGUGGAGGGGCAGGCCACCCCUUCAGGAAUGGAAUGGAAAGUGAAGAUACACGUCAGUGGUACAGGGUGCUUUAUCACAUCAUUGAUUUUAUUAUUUUUUUCUUUUUUUGAGUUGAGUCUCCCUCUAUCACCCAGGAUGGAGUGCAGUGGUGAGAUUUUGGCUCACUGUAGCUUCCACCUUCCAGAUUACAGUGAUUCUGUUGCCUGAGCCUCUCGAGUAGCUGGGAUUAGAGAUGCACGCCACCACGCUUGUAACGGCAUGAUGUGAUGUGUGUGCAUGAAUACAUGGAUGGAUAAGCCCAUGGUUUAUGUAGAAAACACUUGAUUUGCAAUAAGGUAUAUUUUUUAUAGUUGUUAUGAUUGUAAGUAUUUUUCAUUUUUGUUAACUAUCACAAUGAUGAGUUAUUAGUAAGGAUUGGCCGGGUGAGGUGGCUCACGCCUGUAAUCCCAGCACUUUGGGAGGCCCAGGUGGGUGAAUCACAAGGUCAGGAGUUUGAGAUCAGCCUGGGCAAAAUGGUGAAAUGCCAUCUCAACUAAAAAUUAGCCAGGCCUGGUGGCAGGUGACUGUAAUGCCAGCUACUCGGGAGGCUGAGGUAAGAGAAUUGCUUGAACCUGGGUGGAAGAAGUUGCAGUGAGCCAAGAUUGUGCCACUGCACUCCUGCCUGGGUGAUAGAGUGACACUCCUUCUCAAAAAAAAAAAAAUUAAAAAACGUCAUAAUUAUUAAUAUUAUUAUUAUUACAGGCAUGAGCCACUGUGCUUGGCCUGCCUCUGUUUUCACAGACACAUCUCUUCAUACUCAGCCAAGGGAUCCUUCUUCACAUCCAUGGUCUCUACAUUGCUGUACUCCUCGUAGACUUUACUCAUUUUUUUUGUGUGUAUGAAAUUCUGGAAUCUACACAAGGCAUAUUUUUGAGUAUAUGCUUGAAACUAGAAAUCAGAGGCCAUUUUACCUAAGAGAUGUAAAACUGCUUUCACCUCAGGCCACCAUACUGCUGAUUUUUUGGAUCUUGUUCAUUCUUGUCCCUUGCCCAUAUUGUAAUUUGCAUAGUUAACCUUGGGUCAGUAUUUUACCAUUUGCUAAAUUAGUUCCAUUUUCCUCCAAGCUCAAAACUUGGUCUAUCCCAGUGGAAUUAUAUUCCCACAGAUGUGCAUGCACAAAGUUCACUCCUACGUGCCCAUUCCUGCCCUCCACCCUUGCCCUCCUUUUCCUGGCCUUGCUUCACAUGGUACAUUGAUUUGGAUGCAAAAUACUGUUGCUUUCCAGCCUAUUGAUUUUGUAAUAGUGAACACCCCAAUUUCCCCAUGAGCCCCUCCCCUCCAACACUACUCUCACUGAGUAAGUCAAGACCUUAUUCAUCCACUGGACAAAAUUAUAGGAGGCCGCUUAAAUCAGUGUGUGCAGGGCAUCAUGACUCAGCACAUGAUCCAUGAGGGAUGGCUUCAGAACCACUGUCAGCAGCGCAGCUCAGCGCUUGUGUCCCAGCUCAGCCCUUGUAUCCCCCUUGAUGUACUUCUAUCUGUUCUCUCUCUCUCUCUCUCUCUCUCUCUCUCUCUCUCUCUCUCUCUCUCUCUCUCUAUAUAUAUAUAUAUAUAUAUAUAUAUACACUUUUUUUAUUAUACUUUAAGUUCUAGGGUACAUGUGCACAACGUGCAGGUUUGUUACACAUGUAUACAUGUUCCAUGUUGGUGUGCUGCACCCAUUAAUUCAUCAUACUUCUUUCUGUUCUUGUAUUUUCUGUGACUGGUCAUUUUCUGUACUUUCUUGGCAGACUACUGUGCUUAAAAACAUGGGAUCCUUCAGGCCCAUGAUCAAGUUUGUCCCUCACUUAGCGUAUGUGCAAAUUGGGGUCAUGUACAUGAACACACUGGCCUGCUGUA